UACGUAGGGGGCAAGCGUUGUCCGGAUUUAUUGGGCGUAAAGAGCGUGUAGGCGGCCAGGUAGGUCAGCUGUGAAAACUCGAGGCUCAACCUCGAGACGUCGGUUGAAACCACCUGGCUAGAGUCCGGAAGAGGAGAGUGGAAUUCCUGGUGUAGCGGUGAAAUGCGCAGAUAUCAGGAGGAACACCGGUGGCGAAGGCGGGUCUCUGGGCCGAUACUGACGCUGAGGAGCGAAAGCAUGGGUAGCGAACAGG
rnacentral:rRNA from 1 species